rnacentral:rRNA from 1 species
ACCUGCUUUAAUUAACCUGUGCAGUGUUGUUCUACUCUUACCCGUCAGUCGGGCAGCCUCACUAAUAGACACUCUGGCCAUCAGUUACCAUCCUGUAAUGCAUCCAGUCUCGAGGACAGUGUACGGAAAAGAUGCUCCGCAUCAUCGUGGAGUUUCUCACAAAGGUCGGCUUCGACAUCGAGAUCAAGCUCGUUAAGCUUCUCCAACAGGAGCAGAGACUGGUUCUGGAUGAAUUUAGCCAUAUUUUGGUGCCUUCGGGAACUGUGAGACAGGUGCUGCAUGGCUGUCGUCAGCUCGUGUUGUGAAAUGUUGGGUUAAGUCCCGCAACGAGCGCAACCCUUAUCCUUUGUUGCCAGCGGUCCGGCCGGGAACUCAAAGGAGACUGCCAGUGAUAAACUGGAGGAAGGUGGGGAUGACGUCAAGUCAUCAUGGCCCUUACGACCAGGGCUACACACGUGCUACAAUGGCGCAUACAAAGAGAAGCGACCU